rnacentral:rRNA from 1 species
UACGUAGGGUGCGAGCGUUGUCCGGAAUUAUUGGGCGUAAAGAGCUCGUAGGCGGUCUGUCGCGUCGGUCGUGAAAACUUGGGGCUUAACCCUGAGCUUGCGGUCGAUACGGGCAUGACUGGAGUUCGGCAGGGGAGACUGGAAUUCCUGGUGUAGCGGUGAAAUGCGCAGAUAUCAGGAGGAACACCGGUGGCGAAGGCGGGUCUCUGGGCAGUAACUGACGCUGAGGAGCGAAAGCGUGGGUAGCGAACAGG